rnacentral:rRNA from 1 species
GUGCCAGCCGCGGUAAUACCGGCAGCCCGAGUGAUGACCGAUCUUAUUGGGCCUAAAGCGUCCGUAGCCGGCCGGACGGGUCCGUCGGGAAAUCCACUCGCCCAACGAGUGGGCGUCCGACGGAAACUGCACAGCUUGGGACCGGAAGGCUCGAAGGGUACGUUCGGGGUAGGAGUGAAAUCCCAUAAUCCCGCACGGACCACCGAUGGCGAAAGCACUUCGAGAAAACGGAUCCGACAGUGAGGGACGAAAGCCAGGGUCUCCAACCGGAUUAGAUACCCCUGUAGUCC